ACGCUGGCGGCAUGCCUUACACAUGCAAGUCGAACGGCAGCACGGAGCUUGCUCUGGUGGCGAGUGGCGAACGGGUGAGUAAUAUAUCGGAACGUACCCUGGAGUGGGGGAUAACGUAGCGAAAGUUACGCUAAUACCGCAUACGAUCUAAGGAUGAAAGUGGGGGAUCGCAAGACCUCAUGCUCGUGGAGCGGCCGAUAUCUGAUUAGCUAGUUGGUAGGGUAAAAGCCUACCAAGGCAUCGAUCAGUAGCUGGUCUGAGAGGACGACCAGCCACACUGGAACUGAGACACGGUCCAGACUCCUACGGGAGGUAGCAGUGGGGAAUUUUGGACAAUGGGCGCAAGCCUGAUCCAGCAAUGCCGCGUGAGUGAAGAAGGCCUUCGGGUUGUAAAGCUCUUUUGUCAGGGAAGAAACGGUGAGGGCUAAUAUCCUUUGCUAAUGACGGUACCUGAAGAAUAAGCACCGGCUAACUACGUGCCAGCAGCCGCGGUAAUACGUAGGGUGCAAGCGUUAAUCGGAAUUACUGGGCGUAAAGCGUGCGCAGGCGGUUUUGUAAGUCUGAUGUGAAAUCCCCGGGCUCAACCUGGGAAUUGCAUUGGAGACUGCAAGGCUAGAAUCUGGCAGAGGGGGGUAGAAUUCCACGUGUAGCAGUGAAAUGCGUAGAUAUGUGGAGGAACACCGAUGGCGAAGGCAGCCCCCUGGGUCAAGAUUGACGCUCAUGCACGAAAGCGUGGGGAGCAAAC
rnacentral:rRNA from 1 species